AAAAAACAGAUGGAGUAGAAAAUGAAUCUGUGGAGCUUGAGAAGAGUAACAUCCUUUUAAUGGGACCAACAGGUUCAGGGAAAACUUUACUUGCCAAGACCUUAGCUCGAUUGGUGAAUGUUCCCUUUGUAAUAGCAGAUGCUACGACACUAACUCAGGCAGGAUAUGUUGGGGAAGAUGUGGAAUCUAUUCUAUAUAAGCUCCUCACUGUUGCUGACUACAAUGUAGCAGCUGCUCAGCAAGGCAUAGUGUAUAUUGAUGAAGUUGACAAAAUCACGAAAAAGGCUGAAAGCCUCAACAUCAGUAGAGAUGUCUCAGGAGAGGGCGUCCAGCAGGCAUUGCUGAAGAUGCUUGAAGGAACAAUUGUCAAUGUGCCGGAGAAGGGAGCUCGGAAGCACCCUAGAGGGGAUAAUAUUCAGAUUGAUACCAAAGAUAUUCUCUUUAUAUGUGGUGGAGCCUUCAUUGACUUGGAGAAAACAAUCUCAGAAAGGCGCCAA
rnacentral:misc_RNA from 1 species